rnacentral:rRNA from 1 species
CCCUUAGAUGUUCUGGGCCGCACGCGCGCUACACUGACUGAGCCAGCGAGUUUUCACCUUGACCGACAGGUCCGGGUAAUCUUUGAAUCUGCAUCGUGACGGGGAUAGAUUAUUGCAAUUAUUAAUCUUCAACGAGGAAUGCCUAGUAGGCGCAAGUCAUCAGCUUGCGUCGAUUACGUCCCUGCCCUUUGUACACACCGCCCGUCGCUCCUACCGAUUGGGUGUGCUGGUGAAAUGUUCGGAUCGGCCGUUUGUCGCGGUUUCCGCGGCUCGUGGCUGAGAAGUUCAUUAAACCCUCCCACCUAGAGGAAGGAGAAGUCGUAACA